rnacentral:lncRNA from 1 species
GUCCAUUUCCUUCACACUGACUGCCCUGUAAUAAUCAACUGCGGGCAGGGUUGAAGGUGUCGGAGUGCCUGGUGCUCCUCAAGGAGCCGUAGAUGUAUCUGUUAAAGGCUCUUCAGGAAGCUGUGAGCCCGGCUCCUGGGGCAGCAAGCCGUCGGAGCCCAGGCUUCCGAGUCAGGAAGACGCGGCCGUGACAAGGUGGGGUCUGAAAACAACACUGUUAAUUUUGGAAUAAACUUAGAGCUGCUGACAACUGGCCAUGCAAUGUGUCAGAGCCCUGAGAUGGAAGCUCUCUGGUGAGGAACCAGCCCACUAAGAAAUCUUCAUUUUGCAUUAAGUUUAUUCUAAUGUAUUGGAAAACAUUAUGUCACUCCUAUUGGAUCUCAAUAAAAAUCAAACACUAUUUCG